CUUUACAAACACGAUCUCAUUGAACCCUCGCAGCAACGUUCCUCCCUGUGCCCGGAAGAGGAGGUGGGCCUUGACCGGGAGCGGGGUCCAGCAGUGAAGAAGAAAUAAAAGAAAUGAAGAUUUUCUGGAAGAGACUGAGUUAAAGAAGGCUUUUUAUAUUUGACAAGUAUUGUCAUCAGUAAUGAAGAUCAUUGUGAAACAGAAGAUUGAAUAAAACCUUGUAACAUUAAACCUAGAUUAGAGAUUUAGAAAAGAAAGUUAAAAUUAGUCACUUUGAUUUUAGUGUUCCAAUUUCAUAAUAUUUGUUCUUCUAAAUAGAUUUAGAGAGUAGAAAAUAAA